rnacentral:rRNA from 1 species
CUUGACGGUACCUCACCAGAAAGCCACGGCUAACUACGUGCCAGCAGCCGCGGUAAUACGUAGGUGGCAAGCGUUGUCCGGAAUUAUUGGGCGUAAAGCGCGCGCAGGCGGUUCCUUAAGUCUGAUGUGAAAGCCCACGGCUCAACCGUGGAGGGUCAUUGGAAACUGGGGAACUUGAGUGCAGAAGAGGAAAGUGGAAUUCCACGUGUAGCGGUGAAAUGCGUAGAGAUGUGGAGGAACACCAGUGGCGAAGGCGACUUUCUGGUCUGUAACUGACGCUGAGGCGCGAAAGCGUGGGGAGCAAACAGGAUUAGAUACCCCGGUAGUCA